UUCAGCUUCCCAUCCCGCCUGGGGAACGAGCCACCAGCCGCAGACAUGACCCCCAGCCUGGCCAUCGCCUUCCUCCUGCUGCUCCCAGCGGGUGUCUAUUCCCAGAUCAGUCUGGUGGAGUCCGGUGGGGGAAUCAAGAAGCCCGGGGAGACCCUCAAACUGACCUGCACCGUGUUCGGAUUCUCUCUCACUAGCUACGGGGUGCACUGGGCCCGCCAGCCAGCGGGGAAAGGGCUGGAAUGGAUGGGAGUUAUCUGGGCUGGUGGAAGCAAUAACUAUAAUGAUGCUCUCAAAAAUCGCCUCACCAUCACCAGAGACACCUCCAAAAGCCACGUGUACCUGCAACUGACCGGCCUGCAACCCGCAGACACCUCCCUGUAUUACUGUGCCAGAGACACACAGUGA